UUUAGCUAUUUUCUUUUAGGCCCAUUCUCAUUUUCCCCAAAUACAUCGGUCGUCCUUUUCCCACUGGGGUCGAUUUCGAUUAACGUGGCCACAUUAUCGACAUACAUUUACGGUCGUACGACCAAUCUUCGAACAAAUCGUGCAGAUUUCUCAUGGUCCUGGCCAAAAUAAAAAUCACAAGACCAUUGUAAUUUCUUGGGGGUAAUAGCAUACAUGAUACCCCAUAGCAUAUCAAUCAAUGCCUUUCAAUGUCCACCGUGCCUUAAAGUCCAUACCCGCACUGAAUUCACAAAAUCACUCAUUACGCCCUACGCCAACGUACCUAGCGUAUCAUCACGUAAUUCACUAAUUGUUAACCAACCCUGGCUUCGAUCGGCAUGAUGUUCGCAGCCAACUUUACGCACAUCCCCAUUCACUCGCACGCCACCACCACGAUACCACGAUCCAUCCACCAGAAGCCCACUGCAGAACACACCAGAAUUAAAAAUUAAAUCUUUAAAAGAAAACGUGUGUUCUUCAUCUGGGAAUAUCUCCCUAUCGGCGAAACCGUCAACUUUUGGAUAUCGGUGGUGGCGUGCAUCGAACCAGCCGAUCAUGGAAAUAACCAUAACCACCAUCACACCGUACCCCCCCACCCCCUCAUGCAAUCGGUGUCAUCUUUCCCUGCCACCAACACAUUAGGGUGGCCUGCAACAAAACAUCGGGGAACGGCGAGGCUCCGCAGACGGCAACGAUGUGUCAGGACAGGUAGGAUUUCCAACGUGGGGAACACCCACGCCUGAGAUGUCUCAUGCCGGGCUCUAGGCGUUAUAUGGCCGCUGUAGGCUCGUAGUUGUUGUUGGCUUACUACUGGUAUUGACGAAGCCAUGGCCAUUCAGUGGAACUUGCGCGUGAAACGUAUUUGCGAAAAUCCAGCUCUGUCGGUCAUGAGGGUUGUCGUGCCAAUAUCUCUACCUGUCCUCAUGUUUCCAUUGACCCCUUCACCAUCACAAUAACCAGGUCGAAUGCCGUGGCCCAAAUCCACUCAGGUACCAUAAUCGUUGUGGUUGUCUCUAGUUAGUGUCCGUAGACAUUUGUUUUUUUCUUGAAUUAAAAAAAAAACACACAUGGCCAAAUGGAAAUGAUUGUGUUCCUUCUGGUUUAUGAAAACAUACAGGCAUAGUUUGUGAAUUUAGUGACAGUGGUCGAAUAUGAUUGUGGAAAUAAAUAAUAGAUACUGUCCCCGA